rnacentral:piRNA from 1 species
UACUCGGCUUCCUCCCACUGCAAUCCAU